AUUAGUGGCGAACGGGUGAGUAACACGUGAGUAACCUGCCCCCAUCUUCGGGAUAACUUCGGGAAACUGUGGCUAAUACCGGAUAUGACUCGUACAGGCAUCUGUUGCGGGUGGAAAGAUUAUUGGUUGGGGAUGGGCUCGCGGCCUAUCAGCUUGUUGGUGGGGUGAUGGCCUACCAAGGCGACGACGGGUAACCGGCCUGAGAGGGCGACCGGUCACACUGGGACUGAGACACGGCCCAG
rnacentral:rRNA from 1 species